GUCUCCAUAGCUUAAUGGAUAAAGCAUAACCCUCCGGAGGUUGGGAUGAAGGUUCGAAUCCUUCUGGAGACA
rnacentral:tRNA from 2 species